UCCCAGGUAAACAUUCGGUCUAAAUAAAAGCUGUGAAGCCGUGACAUACCUCUUUUAAUUUCAGAUGGAGAUGGAUUGAGGCAACUUCUGAUGUCCUCUUUUGUGCUGCAAAUUCUUUCUAACGUUAUUUGUGAUGGAAAAACAACACCUCACAUCAGAAAAGCGUGAAAAGAAAUUCUCAAACUCUGUGGUUUGCUCAUCCUCACUUCCAUCUGGGGUCAGAAGCUGACCCUUAAUCAUGCUGCUUCAUGGCCGACCAGUCGAACGACCACUUAUGCAUAAUGUGAUUUAUUGUGAUGACAGUGGUUUAUCUCUCUGAAUCGCACUGUUUUGAUUGAGGCUCCAGCAUUAUCGCCUGCAAUUAGUCUCUUUUCAAUCAGGUCCUAUUGAGAAUCAGAGGGAACGUUUUUUUUUUGUUGUACGUUGUUUUUGUUUGUUUUACCCGCGGCCUUGCAGAGAAACAGAAUGAGACGACGGUGGACUUCCGGAAAACAUCCCCCACUUCCCUCCUCUCACCAUCGUCAGCAACACUUUCUUACUGCAGAGCCCUUCCAGUUCGUGAAACCCCAUCUCUCUUCCAUCUCCUACGCCAAACGGACGAUCUGCAAUUGAGCCGUUAGCUGACCAUGGCUAACGACUUGGCAGCAAACAUCUUUCCAUCCAGACCACAAAGCAAUGGCUCUACUACAAAUCACACAGCGUAAUCCUGGUUUGACAGAAGACACACAACACCUUGCAUGGCACUGUGCCACAAUGAAAUGAGUGCAGAGGCCCAGAACAGGAGAUGUAACUCCAAACAAGUACUGAACCGGGAAUCAGCAAAGACAUAAUAUGUUCUACAGUCAAAAAUUCUCGACAAAACCCACGGCUCCACAAUAAAUUGUCAGUAUUUAUUGAUCAGUUUUCAAUUGGAUAAAAUCCUUCAAAAUGUAGGAAUACGUGUAUAUUGCUUGUUUUCUACACAUUUAUUUUUACCUGGGUCUUCUGUUAUAUCUGAGUCAUGACACUAAACUGAGUCCUGAUGUUGUCAAAGUCACAGUAAAGUUGCUUUAAUUCAUAUUUUUGGCUUUCGUCACGUAAAAUGAGAAAUUUAGACAUCUACUGUUAAGUGUGCUCAACUAAGUAAAAAUCCUAAUUUUUUUUUUUUUUUUUACCCCGACGGGUUCUUUUGUGGGCUCUAGUGUCCCUUAUAUGAUAGUAGGCUG